rnacentral:tRNA from 1 species
GCGGGAGUAGCUCAGUUGGUAGAGCGUCAGCCUUCCAAGCUGAGGGUCGCGAGUUCGAGCCUCGUCUCCCGCUCCA